rnacentral:rRNA from 1 species
UUUAGGGUGUUGUUUAUUUUAUUGUUGUUAAAUUUUUAUUGGAAAUAUAUUAAUUUUUAUUAUUUUUAUUAGAAAAAAUUUUGUUAACUAUAGUUUAUUGUAUUGUAAGAGAUUUUCUUUUAAUUUUUAUAAGUAGAUUUAGUUUAUUGUACCUUGUGUAUCAGGGUUAAUUAAUUUAGUAUUAAAUAUUUAGUUUUCCCGAAUUUAGAAGAGCUAUAAGUUAAUUUAUUUUGUUGUGGAAUAACCAUUUAUAAUUGAUUUAUAGUAGUGAAAUGUUAUUCGUUUCUAAAUUUAUCUGGUUUUUUAGGAAAUUAAUUUAAUUAUUUUAAUAUUAGGAAAAUUAUUUAUUGUUAUUUUUUUCUUGUUAUUAUGUAAUGCUUAAGGGGAUGAGCUUUUAAGUAAAUUUUUAUAAUUUUUUGUUUAGUAAAUCUUAUGUAGGAUUAGAAUUUUUUAUCAUUAGGAGGAUGUUAUAAUUGAAGAUUUAUUUUAUUUGUUUUAUGUUUAUUUUAAAUUUUUACUAAAAUAUUGGUUUUAAUUUUGUUUGCUGUGUAAUAAUGAUUAAAUUAGUAUAUAUUUUGUGUGUGAGUAAAUUUGUUUUUUUAGACGAUAAAAAGGAACUCGGCAAAUAAUUGUUUCCACCUGUUUAUUAAAAACAUGUCUUUUUGUUGUUGAUUUAAGGUCAGGCCUGCCCAAUGAUUAUUUAAAUGGCCGCAGUACUUUGACUGUGCAAAGGUAGCAUAAUCAUUAGUUUUUUAAUUGGAAGCUGGUAUGAAAGGUUUGAUGAGAAAUAAGCUGUCUCUUUGUUGUAAUUAGAACUUGAUUUUUGAGUAAAAAAGCUUAAAUUUUAUAUAAAGACGAGAAGACCCUAUAGAGUUUUAUAAAUUUAAUGAGUAUAUAAUAGGUUUUUAGUUUUUUAUUAAAUUUAUUUUGUUGGGGUGAUAUAAAAAUUAAAUUAACUUUUUAUUAUUUUUACAUUAGUUAGUGAGUAUUUGAUCCUUAUUUUUGGAUUAUAAGAUUAAAUUACCUUAGGGAUAACAGCGUAAUUUUUUUUGAAAGUUCUUAUUGAUAAAAAAGUUUGCGACCUCGAUGUUGGAUUAAGGUUAAUGAGUGGUGUAGCAGCUGCUUAAUUAGGUCUGUUCGACCUUUAAAACUUUACAUGAUCUGAGUUUAGACCGGCGUGAGCCAGGUUAGUUUCUAUCUUUUAUUAUUUUAAAAUAUUUUAGUACGAAAGGACCAUUUAUUUAAAUUAUAUUUUUAUUUUGAAUUCUAUUAUUAUUUUGGCAGAUUAGUGCGAUAGAUUUAGAAUCUUUUUAUGUAAUUUAAAUUACAAAUAA